GUGCUUGCUUCGGCAGCACAUAUACUUAAAUUGGAAUAAUACAGAGAUUAACAUGGCCCCUGUGCAAGGAUGACUUGCAAAUUUGUGUAAGUGUUCAUGUUUUU